AGCCCGCUCGGAGGAUCCUGAGAGCAGGGGUUAGCGCGCCCUCUGCCGGAGGACGACAGGCUCCGCGCGCUCUGCUCCCCUCGUCCCUACUUGGCCCGGGGAGGUGAAGUCAGAGGGAGCGGACUGCAGGAGAUGAAGGGGAGCUGCUGCACCUGAACUUUUCCAGUGCAGCCUACACAUAUGUCCUCAUUUAAUCUCCAGCCUCUGUGGAAGAGCUUAGUGGAGAAGCGACUCCGAGAGAAAGGGGGCAAGGAAGGCUGUAAAGGAAAGAAAAGGCGCUAGAGGAGGAGAGUACCCGGGUGACCGCGAGGCCUCUGAGGAAUGGCUGAAGACCAGAUCAUCUACAUGGGGCUGGGAGCGGGUCCCGUGACGGCUCGGUCGCCGACUCCGCGGAGGGAGACUUUGACCAGGCCCUGCCACUCUGCGGGCUCGGUUUCCUCGCCUGUGAAACGGGGUCGAUGACCCUCCUCCCCGCGGCGACUGCUCUUCACCGGUCCGAGCCCAGCCGCCGCCCCCGGGGGAGGGGCCUUGCCCAGCGCGAGCUACGACGGCCGCCGGGGGGCGCACGAGGCCCUGCAGGACCGCGGCUGUGGAGACCGUUCCCGCCGCCCGCCUGGGCUCCAGGGCUGAGGUCCCUGGGGCCUCCGUCUCCUUGCCAGGGAGGGGCACUGACUAGGUGACACGGGACUCGCCGUUUCCCUUCUCUGAGCCUGUAGCAGAUGAUAAUAACAUUUCCCUAGAGGGUCUUGCUUUGUUAAUAGUCACAGAUUACAAAGCACUUGUCCCUUCCCAGCCCCUUUAUGUCCCUUCCCUGUGCAAAACCUGGGAGGCGGCUUAAUAACUAUCCCUGAUCUUCAGGUGACAAAACUCAAGCCCGGAGCAGGGUUGAGAACCAGUCCUGGCCAUGGCCUGAUCACUCAGCCGUUUCCUGCCCCUCAGCUAUCGCUCAGCCAGGGCCCCUGAGCUCCCUCCUGGACCUCCUCUGCAAACCGUUAAGUGCACCCUCUGUACAGUGUAAACCUUACAGUGUAAAGUCCACUCUGAGGGCUGGCCAUGGCGGGUGCGAGGAAGGAGAAACCCCUCUUGGAAAAAGCCUGUGGGAAGGACGCCCAGUAAGAGGGGCAGCUGUGAGCGCAGGUGUGGGGCUAGGGAAGCGCGCCGCCCUGCUGGCCGGAGGGAGCAGGAGCUGAUGCCACCAGGCAAUCCCCAAACCCCGCAAGUCAGUGAGCCAAGUGAAGGCCUUUUAUCCUGCAUCGGCGAUUUAACCCCAUAUAAACGCCAAGUGAACGCUU